UACGAAGGGGGCUAGCGUUGUUCGGAAUUACUGGGCGUAAAGCGCACGUAGGCGGACAUUUAAGUCAGGGGUGAAAUCCCAGAGCUCAACUCUGGAACUGCCUUUGAUACUGGGUGUCUUGAGUAUGGAAGAGGUGAGUGGAAUUCCGAGUGUAGAGGUGAAAUUCGUAGAUAUCGGGAGGAACACCAGUGGCGAAGGCGACUACCUGGCCUGUUCUUGACGCUGAGGCGCGAAAGCUAGGGGAGCAAACGGG
rnacentral:rRNA from 1 species